AGGAGAUAUAAUUUUUUCAAGAUUACAUUUUUGUCUUCUCUUUCAGCUGAAGAUUUUGAGCAACUUCUUAAAGAUAUUAAUUACAAGUAUUACUAAAUCAACAGGUGGAAAUUUCAUCAGGCUGAGAAUGUAGCAGUGAAUCAUCUUCUCCAUUGAAAACAAAUAUAUGUAUUUGGCUAUUUAUUUUUGUGUGAUCAGUGUGUAAUAUCUACUAUUUGAACUGCUUGUGUUAAGCUUACUGUUGGCACUGCCUACAGAUAUUAAUUGCUUCCUAUGUGAUCUUUGUGUUAAAAAUAAAGGAAGCAGUGUGUAUUUGAACUGUA